rnacentral:rRNA from 1 species
AACGAACGCUGGCGGCAGGCUUAACACAUUCAAGUCAAGCGCCCCGCAAGGGGAGCGGCAGACGGGUGAGUAACGCGUGGGAAUCUACCCAUCUCUACGGAAUAACGCAUGGAAACGUGUGCUAAUACCGUAUACGUCCUUCGGGAGAAAGAUUUAUCGGAGAUGGAUGAGCCCGCGUUGGAUUAGCUAGUUGGUGGGGUAAAGGCCUACCAAGGCGACGAUCCAUAGCUGGUCUGAGAGGAUGAUCAGCCACACUGGGACUGAGACACGGCCCAGACUCCUACGGGAGGCAGCAGUGGGGAAUAUUGGACAAUGGGCGCAAGCCUGAUCCAGCCAUGCCGCGUGAGUGAUGAAGGCCCUAGGGUUGUAAAGCUCUUUCACCGGUGAAGAUAAUGACGGUAACCGGAGAAGAAGCCCCGGCUAACUUCGUGCCAGCAGCCGCGGUAACAC